rnacentral:lncRNA from 1 species
GAGAAACAAAACUCCCGGAAUAAUACAACAAAAUAAUGAAUUUCGUAAGCGAAUUGUCGUCCCAAGAAAUAGCAUAUGAAAUAACGAAUCAGGCAUAUGAAAUAACGAAUAGCAGGCAUAUGAAAUUAAGAAGAAGAAUUCCAGCUAAAAGAGAAAUGAAAUCAGGGCAAGAUUAAACGAACCGAUUCACGACGAGAGAGGUCGACGGG